AAGCGCAACAGCUCAAAUUUGAAAUCUGGUCCCCAGGGCCCGAGUUGUAAUUUGUAGAGGAUGCUUUUGGCGAGGCGCCUUCCGAGUUUCCUGGAACGGGACGCCACAGAGGGUGAGAGCCCCGUCUGGUCGGAUGCCAAGCCUAUGUAAAGCUCCUUCGACGAGUCGAGUAGUUUGGGAAUGCUGCUCAAAAUGGGAGGUAUAUGUCUUCUAAAGCUAAAUACCGGCCAGAGACCGAUAGCGCACAAGUAGAGUGAUCGAAAGAUGAAAAGCACUUUGAAAAGAGGGUUAAAAAGUACGUGAAAUUGUUGAAAGGGAAGCGCCUAUGACCAGACUUGGGCCCGGUGAAUCAUCCAGCGUUCUCGCUGGUGCACUUUGCCGGGCACAGGCCAGCAUCAGUUUGGCGCGGGGGACAAAGGCUUCGGGAAUGUGGCUCCCCUCGGGGAGUGUUAUAGCCCGUUGCGCAAUACCCUGCGCCGGACUGAGGUACGCGCUCCGCAAGGAUGCUGGCGUAAUGGUCAUCAGCGACCCGUCUUGAAACACGGACCAAGGAGUCGUCUUCGUAUGCGAGUGUUCGGGUGUAAAACCCCUACGCGUAAUGAAAGUGAACGCAGGUGAGAGCUUCGGCGCAUCACCGACCGAUCCUGAUGUUCUCGGAUGGAUUUGAGUAAGAGCAUACGGGGCCGGACCCGAAAGAAGGUGAACUAUGCCUGUAUAGGGUGAAGCCAGAGGAAACUCUGGUGGAGGCUCGCAGCGGUUCUGACGUGCAAAUCGAUCGUCAAAUAUGGGCAUGGGGGCGAAAGACUAAUCGAACCUUCUAGUAGCUGGUUUCCGCCGAAGUUUCCCUCAGGAUAGCAGUGUUGAACUCAGUUUUAUGAGGUAAAGCGAAUGAUUAGGGACUCGGGGGCGCUAUAUAGCCUUCAUCCAUUCUCAAACUUUAAA
rnacentral:rRNA from 1 species